AUCAGCUCAAGUGGUGUUUCACAGUUAUGUAGGCUGAUGUUUCUCUCCUCUGAUUUCUUUAAUGUGGGCAAUGUUAGCUGUGAAGUCCUGAUCAACUAAUUGCUUUGGUCUUGCUAAUUGCGCUCAGCCUGAUCUACAAAAGGAAGAGUCAUUAGAGUGUUUUCAAUGUUUCCUCUGGACAGGGCCAGGUCUCUGUGAAGCAAUAUUCAGCCAGACUAGAUGACAGUGUUUCUGUCAGAAGCAGUGUUUUGCUCUUGGUUUUCCUCUAUUUGUGAUCACCCAGCCCAAAAGUAAAGCCUGCAGGCCCAUGACGGCAGGGUGAUACAGGAAGAAUAAAGAGACUUCGUAUUACAGAGAGAAUUUUUAUGGAUGGAAGCAGGCAGAAACCCAAAAAUGUUUCCUUGAAACAUUUUGGCAGCUCCAAAAUAUACGUGGCAAAAAAAGUGUAGAAAUAGCUUCUGACAGUCAGCUCAACUCCUGGGAACGGGAGCUCCCCUCCACAUUUGGUCCAUGAUCAUCUCAAGUCUGACUUAGCCAAAACAGAAAGCAGGAUCUUGAUCCAAAACUGCUUAUUAGGUCUAAGUUGAGCUUUGAGGUAAGCCUCCAAAAGCACUUUAAAUUGACCCUGCUCUUUAAGACAUAUAAAGCUCAGCCUAAGUGGCACCCCAUUUAGCUACUCUCUAAUGCUGUGCAUUCUGCAGCAGGGAGUUUAUCAGCUCUUGGUGCCCUCUAUUAUGAACCCUUUUUCAUGCAUGCACUUACUUGUGACUGAAAACAAAAACUA